rnacentral:rRNA from 1 species
AGAAUCAACGCUGGCGGCGUGCCUAACACAUGCAAGUCGUACGCGAAAGGGGCUUCGGCCCUGAGUAGAGUGGCAAACGGGUGAGUAACGCGUGGGUGACCUGCCUUCGAGCGGGGGAUAACGUUCCGAAAGGGACGCUAAUACCGCAUGACAUCCUGUCUUUAGACAGACGGAGAUCAAAGCCGGGGAUCGUAAGACCUGGCACUCGAAGAGGGGCCCGCGUCCGAUUAGCUAGUUGGUGGGGUAACGGCUCACCAAGGCUCCGAUCGGUA